rnacentral:rRNA from 1 species
AUUGAACGCUGGCGGCAGGCUUAACACAUGCAAGUCGAGCGGGGUGAUGGUGCUUGCACUAUCACUUAGCGGCGGACGGGUGAGUAAUGCUUAGGAAUCUGCCUAUUAGUGGGGGACAACAUUUCGAAAGGAAUGCUAAUACCGCAUACGUCCUACGGGAGAAAGCAGGGGAUCUUCGGACCUUGCGCUAAUAGAUGAGCCUAAGUCGGAUUAGCUAGUUGGUGGGGUAAAGGCCUACCAAGGCGACGAUCUGUAGCGGGUCUGAGAGGAUGAUCCGCCACACUGGGACUGAGACACGGCCCAGACUCCUACGGGAGGCAGCAGUGGGGAAUAUUGGACAAUGGGCGGAAGCUUGAUCCAGCCAUGCCGCGUGUGUGAAGAAGGCCUUAUGGUUGUAAAGCACUUUAAGCGAGGAGGAGGCUACUUUAGUUAAUACCUAGAGAUAGUGGACGUUACUCGCUGAAUAAGCACCGGCUAACUCUGUGCCAGCCGCCGCAGUAAAAC